rnacentral:rRNA from 1 species
GACGAACGCUGGCGGCGUGCUUAACACAUGCAAGUCGAGCGGUAAGGCCCUUUCGGGGGUACACGAGCGGCGAACGGGUGAGUAACACGUGGGUGACCUGCCCUCAGCUCUGGGAUAAGCCUGGGAAACUGGGUCUAAUACUGGAUAUGACUCCACGGUGCAUGUCGUGGGGUGGAAAGCCUUGUGCGGCUGAGGAUGGGCCCGCGGCCUAUCAGCUUGUUGGUGGGGUGANGGCCUACCAAGGCGACGACGGGUAGCCGGCCUGAGAGGGCGACCGGCCACACUGGGACUGAGACACGGCCCAGACUCC